AGAGUUUGAUCCUGGCUCAGAUUGAACGCUGGCGGCAUGCCUUACACAUGCAAGUCGAACGGUAACAGGUCCUCGGAUGCUGACGAGUGGCGAACGGGUGAGUAAUACAUCGGAACGUGCCCGAUCGUGGGGGAUAACGCAGCGAAAGCUGUGCUAAUACCGCAUACGAUCUACGGAUGAAAGCGGGGGAUCGCAAGACCUCGCGCGGACGGAGCGGCCGAUGGCAGAUUAGGUAGUUGGUGGGAUAAAAGCUUACCAAGCCGACGAUCUGUAGCUGGUCUGAGAGGACGACCAGCCACACUGGGACUGAGACACGGCCCAGACUCCUACGGGAGGCAGCAGUGGGGAAUUUUGGACAAUGGGCGCAAGCCUGAUCCAGCCAUGCCGCGUGCAGGAUGAAGGCCUUCGGGUUGUAAACUGCUUUUGUACGGAACGAAAAAGCUCUCUCUAAUACAGGGGGUGAAUGACGGUACCGUAAGAAUAAGCACCGGCUAACUACGUGCCAGCAGCCGCGGUAAUACGUAGGGUGCAAGCGUUAAUCGGAAUUACUGGGCGUAAAGCGUGCGCAGGCGGUUAUGUAAGACAGAGGUGAAAUCCCCGGGCUCAACCUGGGAACUGCCUUUGUGACUGCAUAGCUGGAGUGCGGCAGAGGGGGAUGGAAUUCCGCGUGUAGCAGUGAAAUGCGUAGAUAUGCGGAGGAACACCGAUGGCGAAGGCAAUCCCCUGGGCCUGCACUGACGCUCAUGCACGAAAGCGUGGGGAGCAAACAGGAUUAGAUACCCUGGUAGUCCACGCCCUAAACGAUGUCAACUGGUUGUUGGGUCUUCACUGACUCAGUAACGAAGCUAACGCGUGAAGUUGACCGCCUGGGGAGUACGGCCGCAAGGUUAAAACUCAAAGGAAUUGACGGGGACCCGCACAAGCGGUGGAUGAUGUGGUUUAAUUCGAUGCAACGCGAAAAACCUUACCCACCUUUGACAUGUACGGAAUCCUUUAGAGAUAGAGGAGUGCUCGAAAGAGAGCCGUAACACAGGUGCUGCAUGGCUGUCGUCAGCUCGUGUCGUGAGAUGUUGGGUUAAGUCCCGCAACGAGCGCAACCCUUGCCAUUAGUUGCUACGAAAGGGCACUCUAAUGGGACUGCCGGUGACAAACCGGAGGAAGGUGGGGAUGACGUCAAGUCCUCAUGGCCCUUAUAGGUGGGGCUACACACGUCAUACAAUGGCUGGUACAAAGGGUUGCCAACCCGCGAGGGGGAGCUAAUCCCAUAAAACCAGUCGUAGUCCGGAUCGCAGUCUGCAACUCGACUGCGUGAAGUCGGAAUCGCUAGUAAUCGCGGAUCAGAAUGUCGCGGUGAAUACGUUCCCGGGUCUUGUACACACCGCCCGUCACACCAUGGGAGCGGGUUCUGCCAGAAGUAGUUAGCCUAACCGCAAGGAGGGCGAUUACCACGGCAGGGUUCGUGACUGGGGUGAAGUCGUAACAAGGUAACCGUA
rnacentral:rRNA from 1 species